rnacentral:rRNA from 1 species
GACGAACGCUGGCGGCGCGCCUAACACAUGCAAGUCGAACGGGGUUCUUUUGGAAAGCUUGCUUUCCGGCUGAACCUAGUGGCGGACGGGUGAGUAACACGUGAGCAACCUGCCCUGAAGUGGGGGAUAACGUCUGGAAACGGACGCUAAUACCGCAUAACAUCCCGGGAUGGCAUCGUUCUGGGAUCAAAGGAUUUAUUCGCUUUGGGAUGGGCUCGCGCCCGAUUAGAUAGUUGGUGAGGUAACGGCUCACCAAGUCUGCGAUCGGUAGCCGGACUGAGAGGUUGAUCGGCCACAUUGGGACUGAGACACGGCCCAGACUCCUACGGGAGGCAGCAGUGGGGGAUAUUGCACAAUGGGGGAAACCCUGAUGCAGCGACGCCGCGUGAGUGAAGACGGCCUUCGGGUUGUAAAGCUCUGUUGAGGGGGACGAUAAUGACGGUACCCCUUUAGAAAGCCACGGCUAACUACGUGCCAGCCGCCGCCGUAACAC